rnacentral:lncRNA from 1 species
AUAGACUUAAAAAAAGAAAGGUGGGUUUCCCCAGGGCAUAGGCGCUCGCUCACUCUUGGCUGCAUUGUUACAGCCACAUGGGGAGCUUUUAGAAAGGAAAACAUUUGCAGUAAGUGCCCAGGUGAUUUCAGGAGGCAGACGGGCCGAAACCCCCCAAGAGGGACCCUGCUUGCUCCUGUGCUCCUCUGUCCCUGGUCAGCGCGUGUUUCCGGAGCACCUGCUGUGAGCCACACUCUUUUCCUGGGUAUCGGGAGCACGCCAGGAAAAGCGCCUGUACUCGCGGGGUUUGCCAGUCUGAACGCACCACGGCCUGGGCAGCCAGGCCCCUUUGAGUCUGUCAGGCAAGCGCCCGGCACUGAAAGGGCAGAAACCCACCCGCUAAGGGAGCGGGCGGGGCCCAGGCUGCUUCGGGCCUCUGUCUCCCUCCCCUCCUUCCUGGUGGCUGUUGCAGAGGAGAUCAAAGACUCGGACCUUCCAACCACAGACAUCCCCCCCCCCCCCACUUUGUCACUUGGCCACUGGGAGUUUGGUGGUGGGCGGGCCUCUCCGGACAGCUGCAAGGGUCAUCCGCAGGCCCCCGCGGAGCAGCGUGGCCAGGUCGUGCGACCGUCCCUCCUUUCCUGCCCCUCUCCACCCCUGCAAUUAAUUCUCUCUGAGGCCAGUCCAGAACUGAUGGCCGCCACACUGGGACUCAGGCCUGGCUGCUGGGUGCCCGUGGCAGGGUGGCCUAGCACGUGCCUUGGCCCCCAUUCCUCCCUCCUCCCUUCCUUCUUCCCUCCCUCCGUCCUCCCUUCCUUCUUCCUUCUUCCUUCCGCCCUUCCUCCCUCCUCCCUCCUCCCUCCCUCUUCCUUCCCCCCUUCCUCCCUCCCUCCCUCUUCCUUCCCCCCUUCCUCCCUCCCUCCCUUCCUUCCUUCCCUCCCUCCCUCCCUUCCUUCCUUCCCUCUUCCUUCCCUCCCUCCCUCCCUCCUCCCUUCCUUCUUCCUUCUUCCUUCUUCCUUCCGCCCUCCCUCCCUCCCUCUUCCUUCCCCCCUUCCUCCCUCCCUCCCUUCCUUCCUUCCUUCCCUCUUCCUUCCCUCCCUCCCUCUUCCUUCCCCCCUCCUCCCUCCCUCUUCCUUCCCUCUUUCCUCCCUCCCUCCCUCCUCCUCCCUCCCUUCCUUCCUUCCUACCUACCUAUAUUCAUUCACUUACUCCUUUUUCACUGCUGUGUCCCUGGGGAACAGGACCAGCCCCUGCUGA